rnacentral:rRNA from 1 species
UUCGAAGCAACGCGAAGAACCUUACCAGGUCUUGACAUCCCGAUGCUAUUUCUAGAGAUAGAAAGUUACUUCGGUACAUCGGUGACAGGUGGUGCAUGGUUGUCGUCAGGCUCGUGUCGUGAGAUGUUGGGUUAAGUCCCGCAACGAGCGCAACCCCUAUUGUUAGUUGCCAUCAUUCAGUUGGGCACUCUAGCGAGACUGCCGGUAAUAAACCGGAGGAAGGUGGGGAUGACGUCAAAUCAUCAUGCCCCUUAUGACCUGGGCUACACACGUGCUACAAUGGUUGGUACAACGAGUUGCGAGUCGGUGACGGCGAGCUAAUCUCUUAAAGCCAAUCUCAGUUCGGAUUGUAGGCUGCAACUCGCCUACAUGAAGUCGGAAUCGCUAGUAAUCGCGGAUCAGCACGCCCGUCGGUUCCGAAUACGUUCCGGCCUU